CUGCUGAGGAGUCCCAUACUAGGACGAAACGGCCGUCCAGUGC
rfam:Schistosoma mattheei strain Denwood, Zambia genome assembly, scaffold: SMTD_contig0010599